UACGGAGGGGGCAAGCGUUGUUCGGAAUUACUGGGCGUAAAGCGCGUGUAGGCGGCUUAGUAAGUCGAUUGUGAAAUCCCCGGGCUCAACCUGGGAAUUGCAGUCGAGACUGCUUGGCUAGAGUGUGGGAGAGGGUGGUGGAAUUCCCGGUGUAGCGGUGAAAUGCGUAGAUAUCGGGAGGAACAUCAGUGGCGAAGGCGACCUCCUGGGCUAACACUGACGCUGAGGUGCGAAAGCGUGGGUAGCAAACAGG
rnacentral:rRNA from 1 species